GGGCCCGCACAAGCGGUGGAGCAUGUGGUUUAAUUCGAUGCAACGCGAAGAACCUUACCAAGGCUUGACAUCCCUCUGAAUACGUUAGAGAUAGCGUAGCUUUUCGGAGCAGGGGAGACAGGUGGUGCAUGGUUGUCGUCAGCUCGUGUCGUGAGAUGUUGGGUUAAGUCCCGCAACGAGCGCAACCCUUAUCUUUAGUAGCCAGUACGUAAUGGUAGGCACUCUAGAGAGACUGCCGUGGAUAACACGGAGGAAGGUGGGGAUGACGUCAAAUCAUCAUGCCCUUUAUGUCUUGGGCAACACACGUGCUACAAUGGGCGUUACAAAGUGAAGCGAGACGGCGACGUUAAGCAAAACACAAAAAGACGCCCCAGUUCGGAUUGUAGUCUGCAACUCGACUAUAUGAAGCUGGAAUCGCUAGUAAUCGCGAAUCAGCAUGUCG
rnacentral:rRNA from 1 species